rnacentral:rRNA from 1 species
UGGGGAAUAUUGGACAAUGGGCGAAAGCCUGAUCCAGCCAUGCCGCGUGUGUGAAGAAGGUCUUCGGAUUGUAAAGCACUUUAAGUUGGGAGGAAGGGCAUUAACCUAAUACGUUAGUGUUUUGACGUUACCGACAGAAUAAGCACCGGCUAACUCUGUGCCAGCAGCCGCGGUAAUACAGAGGGUGCAAGCGUUAAUCGGAAUUACUGGGCGUAAAGCGCGCGUAGGUGGUUUGUUAAGUUGGAUGUGAAGUCCCCGGGCUCAACCUGGGAACUGCAUUCAAAACUGACUGACUAGAGUAUGGUAGAGGGUGGUGGAAUUUCCUGUGUAGCGGUGAAAUGCGUAGAUAUAGGAAGGAACACCAGUGGCGAAGGCGACCACCUGGACUAAUACUUACACUGGGGUGCGAAAGCGUGGGGAGCAAACA